rnacentral:rRNA from 1 species
UGGGGAAUAUUGCACAAUGGAGGAAACUCUGAUGCAGCAACGCCGCGUGAGUGAUGAAGGUCUUCGGAUUGUAAAGCUCUGUCUUCUGGGACGAUAAUGACGGUACCAGAGGAGGAAGCCACGGCUAACUACGUGCCAGCAGCCGCGGUAAUACGUAGGUGGCAAGCGUUGUCCGGAUUUACUGGGCGUAAAGGAUGUGUAGGCGGAUAUUUAAGUGAGAUGUGAAAUCCCCGGGCUCAACUUGGGGGCUGCAUUUCAAACUGGAUAUCUAGAGUGCAGGAGAGGAAAGCGGAAUUCCUAGUGUAGCGGUGAAAUGCGUAGAGAUUAGGAAGAACAUCAGUGGCGAAGGCGGCUUUCUGGACUGUAACUGACGCUGAGGCAUGAAAGCGUGGGGAGCAAACAGG